UUAGAUUUAUUGUUAGUUUUUUGCCAUAAACUUGAAAACUGUUAACAAAAGCUUUCAGAACAAAAUCGAGGCUUUGCAGAUUUGCCGUUUCGGAGCAGACAGCUGCAGGUGCGUGGCCCUGUGCCGGGUGAGGGGUGGAGGCCGGACAUCUGAGCGGAUACUCCAAACGCUGCUGUGAUUUAGUGCACGGCCCAUGAGAGCAGGCAUGUUUUUGCACAGUUUGAAGUAGCUGGGAAGAAAGAAAACACUGCUGAAGUAUGUGAAACCGAUACAGAAUCGAGGGAGCAUCAGUCGGAUCUGGGCUGGGAUUUAGAGGAAAAACUUCUGCCCAAAAUGGAGAUGUGAGGGCAGCUCUGCAACCGGGGGUUGAUUUACACCGCCGGCAUAUCCUGCGCUCCAGAGCCCCUUGGAAAUCCAUUGCAGAAAGAAGUAGGGAAGCUGAUAUAAUUAAAGGCUUC
rnacentral:lncRNA from 1 species